rnacentral:tRNA from 1 species
UGCGGAUGUGGCGGAAUCGGCAGACGCGCUAGAUUCAGGUUCUAGUGGUGGCAACACCGUAUGGGUUCAAGUCCCUUCAUCCGCAUC